rnacentral:rRNA from 1 species
GGUUAUACGAGUUGGCCCAAGUUGACAGACAACGGCGUAAAGAGUGGUUAAGGAAAACAAAAACUAAAGCCGAACACCUUCAAAGCUGUCAUACGCUCCCGAAGAUAUGAAGCCCAACCACGAAAGUGACUUUACACCACCUGAACCCACGAAAGCUAAGAAACAAACUGGGAUUAGAUACCCC